AUACGUAGGGAGCAAGCGUUAUCCGGAUUUACUGGGUGUAAAGGGCGCGUAGGCGGGACUGCAAGUCAGGUGUGAAAUCUAUGGGCUCAACCCAUAGCCUGCAUUUGAAACUGCGGUUCUUGAGUGAUGGAGAGGCAGGCGGAAUUCCCGGUGUAGCGGUGAAAUGCGUAGACAUCGGGAGGAACACCAGUGGCGAAGGCGGCCUGCUGGACAUUAACUGACGCUGAGGCGCGAAAGCGUGGGGAGC
rnacentral:rRNA from 1 species